GACGUAGGAGGCGAGCGUUAUCCGGAUUCACUGGGCGUAAAGCGCAUGUAGGCGGUUUGAUCCGUCCGAUGUUAAAGCCCCCGGCUCAACUGGGGGAGGUCAUUGGAGACUAUCAGACUUGAGGGCAACAGAGGCACGUGGAACUCCCGGUGUAGCGGUGGAAUGCGUAGAGAUCGGGAAGAACACCCGUGGCGAAGGCGACGUGCUGGGUUGCGACUGACGCUGAGAUGCGAAAGUGUGGGGAGCAAACGGG
rnacentral:rRNA from 1 species